rnacentral:rRNA from 1 species
GCUGGCGGCGUGCUUAACACAUGCAAGUCGAACGAACCUUCGGGUUAGUGGCGGACGGGUGAGUAACGCGUGGGAAUCUGCCCUCAGGAGGGGGAUAACGGUUGGAAACGACCGCUAAUACCCCAUAUGCCGAGAGGUGAAAUGAAUUUCGCCUGAGGAUGAGCCCGCGUCUGAUUAGCUUGUUGGUGAGGUAAUGGCUCACCAAGGCUUCGAUCAGUAGCUGGUCUGAGAGGAUGAUCAGCCACACUGGGACUGAGACACGGCCCAGACUCCUACGGGAGGCAGCAGUGGGGAAUUUUCCGCAAUGGGCGAAAGCCUGACGGAGCAACGCCGCGUGAGGGAUGAAGGCCUCUGGGCUGUAAACCUCUUUUCUCAAGGAAGAAGAUAUGACGGUACUUGAGGAAUAAGCCACGGCUAAUUCCGUGCCAGCAGCCGCGGUAAUACGGGAGUGGCAAGCGUUAUCCGGAAUUAUUGGGCGUAAAGCGUCCGCAGGCGGCCUUACAAGUCUGCUGUAAAAACGUGGAGCUUAACUCCAUCAUCGCAGUGGAAACUGUAAGGCUUGAGUGUGGUAGGGGCAGAGGGAAUUCCCGGUGUAGCGGUGAAAUGCGUAGAUAUCGGGAAGAACACCAGUGGCGAAGGCGCUCUGCUGGGCCAUAACUGACGCUCAUGGACGAAAGCCAGGGGAGCGAAAGGGAUUAGAUACCCCUGUAGUCCUGGCCGUAAACGAUGAACACUAGGUGUCGGGGGAAUCGACCCCCUCGGUGUCGUAGCUAACGCGUUAAGUGUUCCGCCUGGGGAGUACGCAC